CCCUUAGAUGUUCUGGGCCGCACGCGCGCUACACUGAUGCAUUCAACGAGUUUCUUCCUGGUCCGAGAGGAAUGGGUAACCUUUUGAAAGUGCAUCGUGAUAGGGAUAGACUAUUGCAAUUAUUGGUCUUCAACGAGGAAUUCCUAGUAGACGUAGUUCAUCAGACUGCAUCGAUUACGUCCCUGCCCUUUGUACACACCGCCCGUCGCUCCUACCGAUUGAAUGCUCAGGUGAGCCAUUCGGACUUUCAUUAUGCUGGUUUCCAGUUUUGAUGAAGGAAAGUCUUGCGAACCUUAUCAUUUAGAGGAAGGAGAAGUCGUAACA
rnacentral:rRNA from 1 species